rnacentral:lncRNA from 1 species
UGAGCCCGAAAUCUCGCGAGAUGCUGCAGGCGUCAGUGCGGCUUCCCACUAGGCGCGUGGUACCCGAGGCCGGGCCGGAGCCGCAGGCCAGCCGCGAUUCCUUCGGGCGAUGCUGGGGGCUUUCCGGUCGGGGCCGCAGCCGCUUCCGGAGCCGCGGGCGAGGUGCGUUCCCCAGCCUGGUUUGCUCUGGGCUCUGACCCGCCGCCGCGAAUCUCCGCUCGUAACUCCGGGCCUGAACCUGGAGGAGGGAGGAUUUCCUCUGUGCAGCUUUCGAGCGGUAGACUCACCCUGCCAGGCAGACCUAGAUUGGCAUAACCAGAGAUCAGUUCCAGUUGUGAUGCAGUGGGUGUCUACACACUUCUGAUGACACCUUUAUUUUAAAAGCUGAUGUUCCAAGUCGAUUCACCAUGAUCUUGGCUGGCUGUCUUCUUCCUUCAUGGCUGCUAGUAAUGACAAUUCAGUGGCUGUUUCUUCAGCUGUGCAAAGUUGGAACAUGUUUGGGAGUUCAACGGCAUUGGUUUCUGGUGCAAGCGGUCUUCUCUGUCUUCUUUAUGGCCAGUAAAAUUCUCCAGAAGAGAUUUAUGGCAGCCUCACUCCCAGUAGUUUCUGCAUUUAGUGAGAUAAGUACCCUGGGAUGUCACUCAAGUCUCUUUUUAAACCUAUAUCCACUUCACCUCAUUUGGCUUUUUGCCUAUCAGAGGUGAAACAAAAGAGUGAAAUCUUUGCUUGUGGAAUCCUCUCAUGUCAUCAAUUGUUUAUAAAUGUUUAGUAUUUAAAGGACCACUAAGGGCCAGUGGGGAAAAUGAAUCUUAUGGAUGGAUAUCAUCAUUUUUUGCUACUUAAUAAUGUUAUGGACUUUCAAAUGAGAUUUCUGUAACUGGAAUGAGAAAAAUCCUAAUAAGUUUAGGAUGGGUCAGAAGAUUUGUGCAAUGGAGUGAAUGCUUGUGUGCUUCCCAAAUUUCGUAUGUUGAAACUAUAAUCCCAAUGUGAUAGUAGUUGAUGGAAGGGCCUUUGGACAGUGGAGCCCUCAUGAAUGGGAUUAGUGCUCUUAAAAGAAGAGACCAGAGAGCUAGCUAGCUGUCUUUCCACCAUAUGAGGGUGCAAUGGGAAGCUGGCAGUCUGCAACCAGAAGAGGACCCUCACCAGUCCCUCACCGUUCUAGCACCGUGAACUCAGACUUCAGUCUCCAGAACUGUGAGAAAUAAAUUUCUAUUGUUUAUGUCACCCAGUUUAUAGUACUUUGUUAUAGAAGCUCAAAUUGACUAAGAUAAUUUGGAUAUUAGGUUAUAUCGCUUGCAGGAGGUAUGUAACUUCUUGAAAC